rnacentral:lncRNA from 1 species
GCUUCUGCUUGUUGAACAGGAGCUGCUGCUUGUGCUUGUCGUUGUUGUUGUUGUUGUUGUUUUUCUUCCAUCAUUUGUUUGUGGAGUUUGUUUGCGAGGAAAACAUGAGUUUGUACACACGCCGUCCAUUCACUCCUCCUCCUCUGUCAGAGCUGGUGUCCACCAUCGGACCAACAGUUGGUCUGCAGGGAGUGUCUUAUCAGAGUGGGUCCGUCACUGUGGAGAUAACACCCUGUUUCCACAGCAGGGACGUUCAUCCACACCUCAAUGUCUCCUGAAAAUACACACAAAUACACUCACUGAGCAACAACACGCACACAC